UGCCGGGCCUUUCAUCCUGGGGGAGAGCCGCGCGCACCGAACACCGCCUCCAGUCAGUCCCUCCAGCCUGGACUGCGAGCCAAGGAGGCAAAAGCCAAUCAGCCAGUAACCGGGAGGGAAACGCAGAACUGAAGGCCAAUGGGGUCCAGCUUCUGCUGACGCGCCAUUUAGCUUUAGAGCUGAUGCUCAACGCGUCCGCGUCCCUGUGUUGAAUCUGAAAAUGUGGCCCGUUGGAAGAUGCCUUUGGUAGGAGCGCUGCUUACCGUCUCAUCCCUAACUUUUCAUUUAUUCAGCAACUAUUUGUUGAGUUCCUAUUUUCUGGAAAAGAUUGUGUUAGACACUGGGACUAAUACAAAGAACUGGCUCAUGUGAAAAUGGAAGCUAUAUCCCAGGAUAUGCAGUCAGCAAGCUGGAGGCGCAGGAGCCCUGAUGGCAUGAAUUCCAGACCAAACGCUGGCCGACUCAAGACUCAAGAAGAGCUGAUAUUUCUGGCUGAAUCUGAAGGUUGGGGGAAGAAAGCAAUAUUCCAGUUUAAGCAGUCAGUGUUGAACAUUAAUUCUCAAGAUGUAACCAGGGGAGGCUACUCACCAUUUCACCCAUUACUCCUGCUUCCUCCCAACGAAAUACUUCCUGCUCUGGGCUCUGUAAAGCUUCUCCCAUCUGCUAUGACUUCUUCUCUGUGACCAUCUGAAUCUUUUCAGCCUUCAAGACUGAAUUCA